CCGUGACUAUUGAAAGAGAGAAGAAAAUCUCUACCAAAAAGGUCAGCUCCGGGGAUCAGUUCUACAUGGGCACUGGGGAACUCAAGAUCACGGGGACCGCACAAUACUAAAGACAGAAGCAUAAAGUAAAUUGAAAACUCCAUUAAGGGAACACAGCACCUGAGGGAAACCACAGCUUUGAAGAACAAAGGAGAGGACAUCGACGUCCAUCCUGCUGACCCCUUUCGGAUGAUCGGUGCUGCACUUGAUCCGAGGACUGCCUUGAGGAUACAGAAGAAACAUUCACUUUGCACGCUGAUCUGGGGAGUUGGGGGUAGAAAAUCAACCAUAAAACCUAACAACAGUUUUACCCAAGGAGAGCAUAAAGCUACACAUAAAAUGAGAUAUAAUCCAACAGGGAGACCCAGGGAAGGAGCUUGGAACUAAUUGAGGCUAAACUGAAAGGGGUAAAAAUAAUACCUCAAGAAGGACAUUAUGUUGAUACAAAUAAAACCCAAUUAAAAUUUAAAAAUGAAAAAUCACUAAAUAGAAUAAAAUAUGUUGGGGUUGUAUAAUAGCAGGUUAAAUAUAUGUUAUUGGGGGGUGUGGGUGGGGGUGAGGAGGGUACAGGCUCAGUUGAACUUUCCUAAAAAGGUCAUUGCUAAUUCGGCAUUACAUUCAAUGCACAGAGAAGCACAGAAUGUGAGAAAAUCGAAAGUGUUUCAAGAUGAUAAAAGUUUGGAAAUGGCUGCUAGAAAAUCCCAUUUUGUUUUUUUAAUUAUAUAUAUAUUCCUCUUCUAAUCUUUUUUUUAAGUGAAUAUAUAUUGCUGGCUCAGUGGAAACCUAAGUUUCCUUAGAGAUCAAAUCGAAAUUCUAUAUAUGAAAAACACAUUUUUGUGAAUAGCACACAUCUCUUUUCACGAUAUUCAUGCCAGAAUUCAUCACAACAUGAAAAAAAAAAUUGGCUGACUUCUGUGUAUUUUACAACAGGCUGCAUUUGCAAGCACAUUUUCAUGGCCUCAUUCUUGGAAGAACGGCAUUUCUUUUCAACAGAUAUGAUCUGGAAGAAAUGUUCUUAGAAUCUUAAUUUAAGAGGUGUAGAAAAGAGGCACAGGCAGUCCGGUUAAGUGACAAUAAGAAAACAAUUCUGGCUAGAUCGGGAAAUGAAAUCUCAAAUUCUUGGCUUCUUGCCCAGGUUCUGAAGGCUCAUGCAUUUUAGAACAAAAUUAAAGAAACAUAAUUUAAAUAAGUGUUAUACUAAAAACUAUCUUUGGGCAGAGGAUUAGGACUCUCUGGCUUCAAUACUAACUAGGGGGUGUGCCCUUGGACAAGUUACCUGUCUUCUCUCCUCUGAGAGUUCAUUCAGCAGGGUUACCUCUGAACACCUCGUGGGUUGAAAAUGGUUCCUCGCCUUUCAUUCCCACUGAAACUGUCAACUCCAAGUCUCAAUUGCUAUUAAUAUCCUUAUUUAAAUAGCUUUUCUUUGCAAUUUAUUUUCCCUCUAUCCUUAUUCCGAUUUAAUUUCUCUCUAUCCCAAAUAGUGGUGCCAUAUUCAACUCUUCCAGUACUGUUAUUAUUUUAUAAGUUCUUUAUUAAUUAAACAUUUAAUAAUGUCCUAUUCCCAAGUGUUAAAAUACAAAGGAUAUCAACCUUGCUUUUCAAAAGCACUCUCCCACUGUUCUUAUAUUUCAUCAUUCCUACAUGUGAACAGUCUUACUGUCCAGUUCUCUUUACUCUUUGCUUCUUGGAUAUACAACCCUAUUUGUUAGAAUUCUUGAUGAGGUAUCUGAAAUCUUCACCUCCUGUUGAGUUUUCCUUUUUAAUUUGUCUAUCCAAGUCUUCUUUGUCCUUCAGUACUUGGUUGGAAACUCUCCUAAGUGCCAUUUUUCCAUCACACAAAUGCUUUCUGGGCUCCUUGAGCAUUUUUUAAUAUAUUUCAUUCAAAGUUAUAAAUAUGUUUUACCUUGUGGCAUAUUAUUAUUUUAUUGUUAUUCAGAUACCUUCCUAUUGAAUAAAAGCUCUGCUUUUCAAAACUUUUGGGAAAUAAUUUAUUCCAUUAAGCUAAACUUUCUGGCUAACUGGAGAUUCCCCCUUUUUUGCCUUAACCUUUUCUUAUUUUAACCAUUGUGGAUUGAGAAUAGAUAAUAUACAGGGUGUCCCAAAAUGUAUACACACUUUGAAUAAUUAUAUAAAGACAAUGCUUAUUAAAAUACAUUUUAUUUUCAAGAUGUAAUAG